rnacentral:rRNA from 1 species
UACAGAGGAUGCAAGCGUUAUCCGGAAUGAUUGGGCGUAAAGCGUCUGUAGGUGGCUUUUUAAGUCCGCCGUCAAGUCCCAGGGCUCAACUCUGGACAGGCGGUGGAAACUGCCAAGCUGGAGUACGGUAGGGGCAGAGGGAAUUUCCGGUGGAGCGGUGAAAUGCGUAGAGAUCGGAAAGAACACCAACGGCGAAAGCACUCUGCUGGGCCGACACUGACGCUGAGGCACGAAAGCGUGGGGAGCAAACAGG